GAGUUUGAUCCUGGCUCAGGACGAACGCUGGCGGCGUGCUUAGCACAUGCAAGUCGAACGAGGCCCUCUCUUCGGAGGGGUGUUCUAGUGGCGAACGGGUGAGUAACACGUGGGCAACCUGCCCCCGGCUCUGGGAUAACUCCAAGAAAUUGGGGCUAAUACCGGAUAUGACCGCUGGCCGCAUGGUCUGGUGGUGGAAAGAUUUUUCGGCUGGGGAUGGGCCCGCGGCCUAUCAGCUUGUUGGUGGGGUGGUGGCCUACCAAGGCGACGACGGGUAGCCGGCCUGAGAGGGUGACCGGCCACACUGGGACUGAGACACGGCCCAGACUCCUACGGGAGGCAGCAGUGGGGAAUAUUGCGCAAUGGGCGGAAGCCUGACGCAGCGACGCCGCGUGGGGGAUGACGGCCUUCGGGUUGUAAACCUCUUUCAGCAGGGACGAAGCGAAAGUGACGGUACCUGCAGAAGAAGCACCGGCCAACUACGCGCCAGCAGCCGCGGUAAUACGUAGGGUGCAAGCGUUGUCCGGAAUUAUUGGGCGUAAAGAGCUCGUAGGCGGUUCGUCGCGUCGGCUGUGAAAACCCGGAGCUCAACUCCGGGCCUGCAGUCGAUACGGGCGGACUUGAGUUCGGCAGGGGAGACUGGAAUUCCUGGUGUAGCGGUGAAAUGCGCAGAUAUCAGAGGAACACCGGUGGCGAAGCGGGUCUCUGGGCCGAUACUGACGCUGAGAGCGAAAGCGUGGGGAGCGAACAGGAUUAGAUACCCUGGUAGUCCACGCCGUAACGUUGGGCGCUAGGUGUGGGGGGCCAUUCCACGGUCUUCCGUGCCGCAGCUAACGCAUUAAGCGCCCCCGCCUGGGGGA
rnacentral:rRNA from 1 species